rnacentral:rRNA from 1 species
CCUACGGGGGGCAGCAGUGGGGAAUUUUGGACAAUGGGGGCAACCCUGAUCCAGCCAUGCCGCGUGUCUGAAGAAGGCCUUCGGGUUGUAAAGGACUUUUGUUAGGGAAGAAAAAGGAGCGGUUAAUACCCGUUUCUGCUGACGGUACCUAAAGAAUAAGCACCGGCUAACUACGUGCCAGCAGCCGCGGUAAUACGUAGGGUGCGAGCGUUAAUCGGAAUUACUGGGCGUAAAGCGAGCGCAGACGGUUACUUAAGCAGGAUGUGAAAUCCCCGGGCUCAACCUGGGAACUGCGUUCUGAACUGGGUAGCUAGAGUAUGUCAGAGGGGGGUAGAAUUCCACGUGUAGCAGUGAAAUGCGUAGAGAUGUGGAGGAAUACCGAUGGCGAAGGCAGCCCCCUGGGAUAAUACUGACGUUCAUGCUCGAAAGCGUGGGUAGCAAACAGGAUUAGAUACCCGGGUAGUC